AAUGAACGCUGGCGGCGCGCCUAAUACAUGCAAGUCGAGCGAGAAGACGUAGCAAUACGUUUGUAAAGCGGCGAACGGGUGAGGAAUACAUGGGUAACCUACCCUCGAGUGGGGAGUAACUAGCCGAAAGGUUAGCUAAUACCGCGUACGCUUCUUGGACUUCGGUUCAGGGAGGGAAAGGCGAUGCCGAGGGUAUCGCGCUCUUGGAUGGGCUCAUGUCCUAUCAGCUUGUUGGGAGGUAACGGCUCACCAAGGCUUCGACGGGUAGCUGGUCUGAGAGGACGAUCAGCCACACUGGCACUGCGACACGGGCCAGACUCCUACGGGAGGCAGCAGUAAGGAAUAUUGCGCAAUGGGCGAAAG
rnacentral:rRNA from 1 species